UCAUUCGGAUUCGCCAUCAUACGUCCAACUGUGCAUUUCAUAUGCAUAUAUAUGCAUCACGAGCCACGGUUGGGCUGUAUGAUGGCGAUACCGAUUGG
rfam:Triticum aestivum genome assembly, contig: Triticum_aestivum_CS42_TGACv1_scaffold_486043_6AS